GGGUAAUUCAAAAGGCAUAUUUUGAACCUUAGCGUGGGAUCAUUUUUCCGCUAGCUUGUACCAAGUAUAGUGGUAAUGAGCAUUUUUUUUUAAUAUAUUUUUUUACUUUGUAAAACCCGUUUUUAAACUUUUUUACUUCUUAAAUGUUUUACACUUUCUUAACUUUUUUUACACUUUUUUAAAUUUUUCUCUAAACUUUUCUUUUACCGUUAACCCCUAACUAGCAGUAAGCAG